GAGACGGAUCGGAAACAGGAUCGGCGAAAUUUGAAUCUCUGGCACUAGCAGAUAAGGUUCUGAGGUGAAAGUCCCACUGCUUGUCUCGAUCAACCAUUUCGAACCGAAUUGAAACCCUAAUUUUCUUCUCUUCUUCUCCAAUACAAGAUCAUCAACAUUUAUUGAUCAGUCCCGAUUUAUAGAGGAUUUGAGAGAAGUGGAAUCUGUGCAAUUGU